rnacentral:rRNA from 1 species
AAUGUCCAGACUAGCCAUGCACGUCUAAGUACAAACUAAAUGAUGGUGAAACUGCAAAUGGCUCAUUACAACGGUUAUGAUGUACCCGGGAGUUCCGAUGGAUAUUUCCAGUAACACUAGAACUAAUACAUGUCCCUGCGUUUAUUAGUUUCGCACAGUCCGUCGCUGAGUCAUGGUAAACAGUUGAUCGACUCGACGUCCCGGAACAGUUUCCGCCCCAUCAGCUUCGAUGGUUGGGUAUUGGCCUACCAUUGCAACAACGGGUAACGAGGAAUUAGGGUUUGAUUUCGGAGAGGGAGCCUGAGAAACGGCUACCACAUCUACGGAUGGCAGCAGGCGCGCAAAUUACCCAAUGCAGACACUGUGAGGUAGUGACGAGAAAUAAUAAAGCGGGACUUCUGUUUCGCUAUUAUAAUGAGGAAUAACCAAAGGUCAUUCCGAUUAGCAACUGAUGGGAAAGUCUGGUGCCAGCAGCCGCGGUAAUACCAGCGUCAGUAGCA